GUAGCACACCACUCGCCUUCCCUGCACUCGCCGCGACGGCGUGAACACCAGGAUCUUCUCCUUCUCGAGCUUGCGCAGGAUCUCCUGAUCUGCGGGAACGAGCAGGGCGGGUGUCAGGCCAGCACACACCCAGCACUGGGCCGACUGGCACGCAAGGCAGCGACUGAUCACCGCAUGCCUACACUAUGGCAUGUGAAGUGUCAGUGGCCACCAGCACUAAGAAGGACCUCUCGCUAGGAAGGUGUCAGUCACUGGAUGACAUGCAAACCAGUACCUGAUCCAUAGCUUGGUGCCUGUGAAAUAGGGGUUAACUUGCUGGAAGUCUGGAAGACGCACUAGUCUGCAUCUUCAUCAAUGAAGGGGCAGCUCCUACAGGGCGCAGAGUAUUACCAGUGUUUCAAUCCCUGCUAAGUGGAAGGACAGAUAUUCGUUACUUCUUGGUGCUAAGAAGGGGUGAAUUAAGUAAGAAUUAGAAAAAUAAUCCUAAAAUGUGUAUGGAACUACAGACGACCCUGAAUAACCGAAGCAACGUCGAGAAAGACCAGCAAAGCUGCAAGUGUCCUAAUGUCCGGCCUGAAGAUACACUAUGGAGAUGGAGUAAUCAGGACAGUAUGCUACUGCCACGAAAAAAGACACAUAGAUCAACGUGACCAAGGUUUGGGUCGUAGGAGUUGAUGUGAGGCUGACCCGACGGUGACAUCAGUUAUCUAAAGGACGUCCCCCUCAGAAAUUCACUUCUGUGGGCUCCAGGGCUUAUUUCACUGGUUACUUCAGAGAGAGUUCUCCAAUGUCAUCUCUCCUAAACAAGCAAUGGAAGUCUUUGUCUCCUCCUCUUCGCCCCAUUACCCAACUCCGGAAAGCAACAGUCCCUGGACCGACAUCUCCAACCCAACAUCUGAAACUGCUGCAGGCGGAAGAGGUGGGAGAAAUCAGAAACCACACGCUUCCAUCAAAAACUGCUGACAGAGCAGCUGACCACUUAAGUCAUCAUAUUUACAGCACGCUGUCUGAAACAGCCACCUGUACGUCGGUCCAUCUCUCCAAGCUAGAUGUUUACGACAGUAGGAGAAAAAUCGAUUGAAUCUCACUAUCCGUUUACAGCUAAGUCUGACAGUGACACUUUAAGGAACUUAAGAAUGUGACAAGAUCGGAUCCCAAUUCAUUGUUUAUCAAAAUAUCAGAACACGUGAUCACGUAUCUUUAAGCCAAAUGAUCACAUGCCACACCCUGGAGAUGCUCACUAGGUGGUAAUCACUGAUAGGAACCUAGAAUAUAAAACUGCCAAAAAACCGGGUGCACGCAUUUUACAGAAAGAAUGACCUUGUAUUUCGGCACUCUGUAAUAACUUGUAGGCUUUCGCUUAAGGUGCAUUCUAUCUUCUACAAAGUUCAAGUCAAUACUCUCAGUAUGCAGCCAAGUUGAACUUGGGAGGCAGGCAGUAAGCAGCGCGGAUACUCACGGGCGCAGGAAAAUACAGAGACACUGGUUUCUGUGGCAGCUUCAGCGGGAACUCCUUACCACAGUGUCAGCCGCAGACUUGCAGGCAGGCAGGCAGAACAAUGAAUGGUUGAACAGAUGGAACAGCAAGGUCUUUGCUUAACCUAUUACCGAGUGCAGGGACAGCCAAUCGUGGGCGCGGGAGCUCACAAUUAGCCGGCCGGGCAGAUGCAGGCCAACCUCGCUCCCUGCGUCAGGUUCCGCAGGUUCCUGCGCUAAGCAAGUUGAUGUCAUUCCCGGGGUCUGCCCCGGGCAGCGUGUGUAUUAACGAGGGGUGUGCUGCAACAAUAGUGCAAGACAAAGGCCACUCGCAGGCAGCUGCUCUUUGGGAGCCGGUCAUUAGGCAGCAGGCUGCCAACAAGAAACACCUGGCUCGGGCGGCCUUCCUCCUUGUUUUUCAUGCACCAAACAAAGAGACCAAUUCUAUUUUCAAGUAGUCAGAGUUGCAUGUUUCCAAAAAGUUGAGGCUCCACUCCGGUCUAUUAGCUUUGGGGUUUUGAGAAAAAGAAAAUGAGGUGUGUCAAAGUAGCAAUUCACUACUGCAGUAAUCCCUUUCUUUACCAGAUGAGUUGCGAGUGAAAUAAGACAGAGGCUACAGUAAAACGAUUGCCCUGGAAACACUGGGAACUCCAAAAUAUUUUUAGGUAUUGGUUCAUUUGUUGAGAGGCAAUAAAAUGAAAAAAAAGUGUGGGGGGGAGAGAUAAGAGCUUACAAACAGAAUUUUAAAAACUGAGUUCACUAGUAGUGUAAUGUGGGAAGAUAAAACAAGUGUGGUCCAACUGUGUGCCAAACGUGUCAUCCAAAGUGUACAUUUAGACAAAACUGCUUAUAUUCAACCUAAAAUCGCCUGCACGGCCCACCUGACGCAUGUCCAAGAGCGGCGUAAAACUCUUUUAUUAUGAAGUCCAGUCACUCGUGUCAUUAAAUAAAAACUUUCAUUAUGUUCUAAUAUACAACAUUAUUACACCUGUUAAAGGGAUUUGUAUUUCAUCUCAGGAACAAGUUAACUUUAUGAAGAAGAAAAAUGGUGGGAAGAAUAUAGAAAAAUUGGCCCCCUCAGGGAGGGAGUUUGUUACCCCAGAUUUAUUUCCAAGUUCCAGAAUGCUACGACUACUUCCUCCUGAGCGCUGCAGAGCAGCCUCAAUCAAAGGUCAAUCAAAAUUCAAAAACCAUCAGGUGUUGUGAAAAUAUUCCCCUGCUGAAGGAAAAAAGAAACGCAUCGAUUCCCACCACCUACCUUUGUGAACCAGCGCCCCCGCCCGCCCACAUAAGUGCACACCCACUUUUCACCCCCUGUCCAGAUUAAGAGGGAAAGCAGGAACUGCUAUUAAAAUACAACCUUCUGAGGGGCGCCUGGGUGGCUUAGUCGGUUAAGCGUCCGACUUUCGCUUGGGUCAUG